AGAUAAAACAUGAUGCCUGGGCCCUCCUUCUCAGUACACGUUGACUAAUUUUGAGAGAUCUGAAAAAUCAUAAUGUUGUAUGUCCCGUUUGAUCUCUUUGAAUGGAAUGCAAAUAGGUAACAAGCUUCCUAAGGGCAAGUCCCAUGAUAGAGGGCUCGGCACAUGAAACCUCCAGUCCCAGUGUUUGUGACAACAUCAACACCAGUCCAGUGCCAAAAUAGUGGUUCAUCUUCACCCAGCACCUCCUGACAAAGAACCAGGUGCAUACCAAAGUAGUGAGAAUUCCUAUAUCAAACUCUCCUUCAAAGAACAUGGCCGGAUUGAGGUAAGUUUCUUUAUGAAGAAAAUUGGACUUAGGAAUAUGUGUAUUUUUUUGUUGUUGUUUCUUAAUGUGAUAGAAGACAAUAUUGUGCAGUGUACAAGGU